AUGUUGGAUACUCACACCUGAGGGAAAUGGAUACAGCAAAAAGCACAGCCUGAAGCACUCGUUUCUUCUCAUUAGAAACACAGAGGAGCAUGAUGUGGCCACUAUCUCAGAAGAAAACUGCUGGGAGCCAUAGCGUUAGGGUCUCCUAGGGGGUGAAAAAAAUGGCUGAGCCAC